AAGUCGUACGGAGAGUGGGGCAACUCACUCUCAGUGGCAAACGGGUGAGUAACGCGUGAAUAACCUGCCUUUGAGAAGGGGAUAACUGUCCGAAAGGAUAGCUAAUACCCUAUAUUGCCUUUUGUCACUAAGGCAAAAGGUGAAAGCGAGGCUGUCAAAGGCUUCGGCUCAAAGAGGGGUUCGCGUCCUAUCAGGUAGUUGGUGGGGUAAUGGCCUACCAAGCCAAUGACGGGUAGCUGGUCUUAGAGGAUGAUCAGCCACAGUGGGACUGAGACACGGCCCGCACCCCUACGGGGGGCAGCAGUGGGGAAUCGUGGGCAAUGGACGAAAGUCUGACCCCGCAAUGCCCCCUGAGGGAAGAAGCCCUUCGGGGUGUAAACCUCUGUCAGAUGGGAAGAU
rnacentral:rRNA from 1 species